UUUUCGUAGGUGAACCUGCGGAAGGAUCAUUAGUGAAUAAAGCACACGGGAGUCCCUUUCUCACCGAAAGAAGGCCCGCUUUUCCACUUAUUUCUCACACUUGUGAACUGUUCUGGAGCUUGGAUGUGCUCGAUGGGUUAGGCCCUUGUCAUGAGGGUCCUGGUCUUUAGCAUCCAGCUCGUUUACUUUAACCCUUUUGUAUUAUCAAAAGUCUUUUGAAAACAAGUUGAUCAAAUGAAAGAAAAACUUUCAGCAAUGGAUCUCUUGGCUCUCGCAUCGAUGAAGAACGCAGC
rnacentral:misc_RNA from 1 species